GACGGAGGAUGCAAGUGUUAUCCGGAAUCACUGGGCGUAAAGCGUCUGUAGGUGGCUCGAAAAGUCCACUGUUAAAAAUUGAGGCUUAACUUCAAAGAUGCCGUGGAAACUUUCAAACUAGAGUAUGGUAGGGGUAGAGGGAAUUUCCAGUGGAGCGGUGAAAUGCGUAGAUAUCGGGAGGAACACCAGUGGCGAAGGCGACUACCUGGCCUGUUCUUGACGCUGAGGCGCGAAAGCUAGGGGAGCAAACGGG
rnacentral:rRNA from 1 species